GAUGAACGUUGGCGGUGUGCCUAAUACAUGCAAGUCGAACGGAGACUGUAGCAAUACUGUCUUAGUGGCGAACGGGUGAGUAACGCGUUGGUGAUCUGCCUCGAAGUGUGGAAUAACCUCCCGAAAGGGAAGCUAAUACCGCAUAGUCUCUCAAGGUUUAGAAAAUUGAGAGUAAAGGAUUUAUUCGCUUCGAGAGGAGCCUGCGUCCCAUCAGCUAGUUGGUAGGGUAACGGCCUACCAAGGCAAUGACGGGUAGGGGACCUGAGAGGGUGGCCCCCCACAAUGGAACUGAAACACGGUCCAUACACCUACGGGUGGCAGCAGUAGGGAAUAUUAGAAAUGGGCGGAAGCCUGAUCUAGCAACACCGCGUGUGCGAUGAAGGCCUUGGUCGUAAAGCACUUUUUGGAGGGAAUAGGAAGGAAGGUACCUCCAGAAUAAGUCUCGGCUAACUACGUCGCCAGCUAGCCGCGUAAACACGAGAGUA
rnacentral:rRNA from 1 species